AUUGAACGCUGGCGGCAUGCCUUACACAUGCAAGUCGAACGGCAGCACGGGUGCUUGCACCUGGUGGCGAGUGGCGAACGGGUGAGUAAUACAUCGGAACAUGUCCUGAAGCGGGGGAUAGCCCGGCGAAAGCCGGAUUAAUACCGCAUACGAUCUACGGAUGAAAGCGGGGGACCUUCGGGCCUCGCGCUAUAGGGUUGGCCGAUGGCUGAUUAGCUAGUUGGUGGGGUAAAGGCCUACCAAGGCGACGAUCAGUAGCUGGUCUGAGAGGACGACCAGCCACACUGGGACUGAGACACGGCCCAGACUCCUACGGGAGGCAGCAGUGGGGAAUUUUGGACAAUGGGCGAAAGCCUGAUCCAGCAAUGCCGCGUGUGUGAAGAAGGCCUUCGGGUUGUAAAGCACUUUUGUCCGGAAAGAAAUCCUUGGCCCUAAUACGGUCGGGGGAUGACGGUACCGGAAGAAUAAGCACCGGCUAACUACGUG
rnacentral:rRNA from 1 species